rnacentral:rRNA from 1 species
CAGCAGCCGCGGGAAUACGUAGGGUCCGAGCGUUGUCCGGAAUUAUUGGGCGUAAAGGGCUCGUAGGCGGUUUGUUGCGUCGGGAGUGAAAACCCAGGGCUUAACUUUGGGCUUGCUUUCGAUACGGGCAGACUUGAGGCAUUGAGGGGAGAACGGAAUUCCUGGUGUAGCGGUGAAAUGCGCAGAUAUCAGGAGGAACACCGGUGGCGAAGGCGGUUCUCUGGCAAUGUUCUGACGCUGAGGAGCGAAAGUGUGGGGAGCGAACAGGAUUAGAUACCCCUGUAGUCCCUGUCUCUUAUAC